rnacentral:lncRNA from 1 species
CCCCCUCAGUUCUAAAGACUGCUUAAUAAAGACUCCAAUAUGACAAACAAGUUCAGGGAUGGGCUUUAGAAUGUGUUUUAGUUGAUUAAAUGUGUCAAGAUUUUGAAAUAAUGGUACAUAUUCUUUUAGAUAAGCAAAAAGAUUAGAACGCAAUGAUAUGUUAAUGUCACAACACAUUAAUAAUUAUCAUUAUACAGAGUUAAUAUUAACCUAGUUGUUUUAAACGAGUUGACGAGUUUAACAAUACAAAACGCUUGUGAUCGGAGUUAUCAAGACUACUAAUGAACGUUUCCUGAAUUUUGUUUAUUGACAAUAAAGGUUUAACAACAUGAAAUUAGGCAAAAGUUUUAAACAUUACGUAUACGUUUAUGGAUAAUUGCCACGUUGGCAGUCUAAUAAAAACGCAUAUGAUGUGCAAGGGGUUGGAAAUCAAA